AUCAACUGCCAUUAGUUUCUUCCUGGAGUCUGUAGAGAAACUUGGCUUUCCAUUAAGGUAACCGCAUCAUUCCCUCAGUAAGUGCUGUGUAGAAUCAGGCACUUGUUUGUAUAUGGUCUCGAAUCAAACCAUAUGCCAGGUCUGCCUGAGGCCUUGUCUAUCAAGACAAAUAUAUAUUUAUGUUGACCAAGUUUCAUACAUCACAGAGGAGAGUGACUGAAUUACACCUUGAAAUAUGACGAACAAUUGUCUUUAUUAUAAUCCCAGUGUCUGUCUGUCAGCAUCUAGGGUGAGGACAGACUAAGGAGUGGAGAAUGUGGACAUCCCAAGAUGCAUGUUUCAUGUCUGUGGUUGUGGCAGGGGAAGCUUUAUCUCUGUUUGGAAGAUGAGGGCUCCCUUGAAGGCUGUUUGACGGGUCACCUAUUCUGUGCGCACUGUGUGCCUCCAAGCAGACCUAGACACCUUUACCAAUGGAUGGGAUAAACACCCUCUGCACACCGAGCAAAAUCUGACCCCCAACCAGCUAUGAGAAAGUACAGAAUCCUGUCACAUUCCCUGGAAAUGUUGAGGAUUUAAACAGCUUGGACGAUGCCUGCCUGCUGGAGGAGCAUGGCCAGGGAAUUGAGGUCCCACCAGUGGAGUGCCCAGGAUAUAACACUGCUCAAAGCAGCCAUUGACCCAACCUCACCAUCUCGAGACUAUGGACAAGAUAUUUAUGCAUCUGUUUUGAAGUAUGUGCUGCUACAUUUGGCUGUAUUAUCCUUAUACCGCUGCUUGAUACUGUCGCAAGGAAUA